UUGACCUCNGAUCAAGUAAGGAUACCCGCUGAACUUAA
rnacentral:rRNA from 1 species